GGAAAACAUUCUGGUGGCACGCUUUAUGGUGGCCCACUGUGGGCUCAACAGGAGGUCCCACAUUGCUGGAAGAAGUGUCCACAAUCAGAGAAUUGAGCGACUAUGGAGAGAUGUAUUCCACAACGUCCUUGAUCUCUUCAGCACUACUUUUCUUCGCCUUGAAGCUGAGGGAUGGCUCAGUCCAGACAAGGAGACAGACCUAUAUGCAUUGCACAGGUGUUACAUGCCACACAUCCAGUCACAUCUGCAACAGUUUCUGAGAGCAUGGAACAACCACUCACUGAGAUCAGCGCGGAACCAAUCUCCUGUUCAGCUGUGGUUGAGCAGAGAAAGAGAUGGAAGCACAGCGCAUUUGUGUCAGGCAGCUCAAGACUGUGUAAACAACUGGAG